UCAAUCUUGAACGCUCCAAGUCUCAAAGGCAAUGAAGAUUAUUCAUAAUGAAAAUGAAAAGUGAAGAAGAUGAGAGCUGAUUCGUGGCCUGGCUUGGCGAGUCCAAUUGGAAGGUCUUAUAAGGCAACUGUUGCUUGCAGCCAUGGCACUGUUGUUAACUCUGCUCUUUUUUCUUUUGAUUAAAUAGGCGAAAAUCUGAGCCUCAUUCUUAACUUAGUUCAUUUACUUUCUGGAAAGGAACUUAGAUUACCAUCAUUGUGGAAUCACUGAAUUAACAGCUCCGGCUUCCAAUGCCAAAAGAAAAACAAUGGUGUUUCUUGGUUGAAUAGACAGAUUUGUUAUCUGAUGAAGGUGAAUCCAUACCUAAACGCGAGUAAAAGACGGUCCCUUUUACGGGUAGCAUCAGCACCCGUCCUUUUAGGUGAACGAUGUUGAUACAUUUCAUCUUGCUGUGUGGUGGACCGGUGUUGUUUCAGUUGGUGGUGAUACUGAUGGUAAAGAUUGCUGGUUCCAUGUGGCUUUCGCGUAUCUGGAUGAUGAGCUUGAUUGGGUCGAUGGAAACUGGAUCCGCCCACAUGAAAAAGAUGAUAUGGCAGUUUAUAGACAUCCACAAAUACAAUAAGGAAAAACCAGCUUAUAUUGGACCUCCUGUUGGAUGAUGUAUUGGCUGAUUAAGGUCUUGACUGUCCUACAAGAAUGAGGCGAGGCCAGCCCUAAGUCUAUGUUGAAGUUCCUGGCUCCCAUCAGGUUGUCACUGAGCAUUCUAGUCACACGGGAAAGUGGUCAAAUGGCAAUGCGGCAAGGUCAUAUGCCCACAUAUCACGUUGCCUCAGCUCGACUGCAUGAGGCCUCAAAGAUGCAAGUCUCUGAUUCUUGGCUACUGAUAGUUCAGAGCUAUUGCUUUGUUCUCUCAAGAAUGUCGAUUAAUAUGGAUAAUAUAUCUGUUGACAAAUUAUCAGCUUUCUUUGAGGUCAAAUUUUUUGUAGGAUCCAUUGGAUGAUGAUCAUUAGAUCAAUCAUAUCAUUUUAAAAUUAGUUGAAAUGUGGAAUAUAUUGUACAGCAAACUCUAUUUGCAUUUCUUUCUGUUAUGUAUAUAACCUAUAGUUGUUGCAAAA